CACCUAUUCAAUUUUACAUACCUGUCUUUACUUGAUAUCCUAGGCUAGCCACACCUUUAGAUUCCUUUCUACCUCAUUAGAACAUAGGAAAAAGACUUUCUGACAGACAAAGAAGAUAAUACCACUUACGGGAUAAAUUUAUUGAAAUGUAACUGAUAGAAAUUGAAAGAAACUGUGAUGAUGUCUUGAUGACACAGGGAUUUGAUUGCAGUCUAUCUUAAAAUGCUCAAGCUUCAGUCUCACACCCAGCUGCAAGUUCCCCUUCAGUUUUACCUGGGCAUCUCCAGCAGCUGUCUCCUGUGCUCGCUUCUCCAGUUCAAGACCAUUGUGUCUUAUCUGCUCCAGUGCCACUCAAGGGUAUCAAUACUAAGUCCUCUCCUGUCUGAGAAGCUACAUGAAGUCAUCACCAAUCUCCUGGGAUUCACCAUCAGCCGGAUACUCACAGCAGAGACAUUCCCUCUCCACCUCCAUCAACACUGUUGUCCUAAUUCCUCAGAAACACUGCUCACUGGAGGCCACAAUGAGUUAAAGCCCCACUGUGCCCAUGUUCCUUAAUGCUUCUUCUCUCAAUAUAUCUUUCAGAAGUUUAUACAUAAUUUACCGAGAACUUAUUAUAUACUGUACAUAUUAUAGACAUGAAGGAUAUGGUUCUUACAUAAACCUGACCUGGCUCAGUGAAGUGGAAGAUGAAUGUAAAUAUAUUAGCCGUUAAAAUACAACCCAGCACUUAUGGAUGUACAACUGAGGCUCAGAUAUUGUUAUUUUUAAUGUUUCCCUUAUUACUCCAUCUGCCUCCUCUCCAGUAUUAGGUUACUAAAAUCCAAUGACAUGAAGGUCAGUUUACUUUUGACACUCAGAGAUGAGGCUGCACAAUGGGAGGGUGCACAAAUGCAAGAAUCUGGGAGAAAUUGCUG
rnacentral:lncRNA from 1 species